rnacentral:rRNA from 1 species
AGAGUUUGAUCCUGGCUCAGGAUGAACGCUGGCGGCGUGCCUAAUACAUGCAAGUCGAGCGAACGGACGAGAAGCUUGCUUCUCUGAUGUUAGCGGCGGACGGGUGAGUAACACGUGGAUAACCUACCUAUAAGACUGGGAUAACUUCGGGAAACCGGAGCUAAUACCGGAUAAUAUUUUGAACCGCAUGGUUCAAAAGUGAAAGACGGUCUUGCUGUCACUUAUAGAUGGAUCCGCGCCGCAUUAGCUAGUUGGUAAGGUAACGGCUUACCAAGGCAACGAUGCAUAGCCGACCUGAGAGGGUGAUCGGCCACACUGGAACUGAGACACGGUCCAGACUCCUACGGGAGGCAGCAGUAGGGAAUCUUCCGCAAUGGGCGAAAGCCUGACGGAGCAACGCCGCGUGAGUGAUGAAGGUCUUCGGAUCGUAAAACUCUGUUAUUAGGGAAGAACAUAUGUGUAAGUAACUGUGCACAUCUUGACGGUACCUAAUCAGAAAGCCACGGCUAACUACGUGCCAGCAGCCGCGGUAAUACGUAGGUGGCAAGCGUUAUCCGGAAUUAUUGGGCGUAAAGCGCGCGUAGGCGGUUUUUUAAGUCUGAUGUGAAAGCCCACGGCUCAACCGUGGAGGGUCAUUGGAAACUGGAAAACUUGAGUGCAGAAGAGGAAAGUGGAAUUCCAUGUGUAGCGGUGAAAUGCGCAGAGAUAUGGAGGAACACCAGUGGCGAAGGCGACUUUCUGGUCUGUAACUGACGCUGAUGUGCGAAAGCGUGGGGAUCAAACAGGAUUAGAUACCCUGGUAGUCCACGCCGUAAACGAUGAGUGCUAAGUGUUAGGGGGUUUCCGCCCCUUAGUGCUGCAGCUAACGCAUUAAGCACUCCGCCUGGGGAGUACGACCGCAAGGUUGAAACUCAAAGGAAUUGACGGGGACCCGCACAAGCGGUGGAGCAUGUGGUUUAAUUCGAAGCAACGCGAAGAACCUUACCAAAUCUUGACAUCCUUUGACAACUCUAGAGAUAGAGCUUUCCCCUUCGGGGGACAAAGUGACAGGUGGUGCAUGGUUGUCGUCAGCUCGUGUCGUGAGAUGUUGGGUUAAGUCCCGCAACGAGCGCAACCCUUAAGCUUAGUUGCCAUCAUUAAGUUGGGCACUCUAAGUUGACUGCCGGUGACAAACCGGAGGAAGGUGGGGAUGACGUCAAAUCAUCAUGCCCCUUAUGAUUUGGGCUACACACGUGCUACAAUGGACAAUACAAAGGGCAGCGAAACCGCGAGGUCAAGCAAAUCCCAUAAAGUUGUUCUCAGUUCGGAUUGUAGUCUGCAACUCGACUACAUGAAGCUGGAAUCGCUAGUAAUCGUAGAUCAGCAUGCUACGGUGAAUACGUUCCCGGGUCUUGUACACACCGCCCGUCACACCACGAGAGUUUGUAACACCCGAAGCCGGUGGAGUAACCUUUUAGGAGCUAGCCGUCGAAGGUGGGACAAAUGAUUGGGGUGAAGUCGUAACAAGGUAGCCGUAUCGGAAGGUGCGGCUGGAUCACCUCCUUU